GACAGAGGUCCCGAGCGUUAGGCGGAAUCACUGGGCUUAAAGCGCGUGUAGGCGGACUGGAAGGUCUGGUGUGAAAGCCCGGGGCUCAACCCCCGGAAUGGCUUUCGAAACUGCUGAGCUAGAGUACAGAAGGGGCAACCGGAAUUCCCAGUGUAGCGGUGAAAUGCGUAGAUAUCGGGAGGAACACCAGUGGCGAAGGCGGCUCACUGGCCCGAUACUGACGCUGAGGCACGAAAGCGUGGGGGAGCAAACAGG
rnacentral:rRNA from 1 species